AAAGUUCAAAAUGAACUUAAAGCAACUUAAGUACCUAUGGAAACAACUAAGCAAAUCAGUACAAUGCUCAGGCAAACAGACAACAGUCAAUAAGCAACAGACAAUCCCAAUGUACAAAAUGUGUAAGCCAAAAGGCAAACUCAAAUGAGUUAGCAUCAACCUACAAAACACAAGUGUUAGUAAUCAAAAGCAAACAUCAAUAUUCACAUGAUGAAGCAUCAUCAACUAUGGAACUUGAAUGCUUAAACCUGAAAUCAAAGCUCACAUGUAAGCAACAAACAUCUAGGUCAAAGCCUAGGGUCAAAGAUGGAGAAAAAACUCAAAAC
rnacentral:lncRNA from 1 species